rnacentral:rRNA from 1 species
CAGCCGCCACGGGAAUACGGAGGGGGCUAGUGUUGUUCGGAAUUACUGGGCGUAAAGCGCACGUAGGCGGCUUGGUAAGUUAGAGGUGAAAGCCUGGAGCUCAACUCCAGAAUUGCCUUUAAGACUGCCGAGCUAGCAGGUGAGAGAGGUAAGUGGAAUUCCGAGUGUAGAGGUGAAAUUCGUAGAUAUUCGGAAGAACACCAGUGGCGAAGGCGGCUUACUGGCUCAUACUGGACGCUGAGGUGCGAAAGCGUGGGGAGCAAACAGGAUUAGAGACCCGUGUAGUCCCUGUCUCUUAUAC